GGAGUAAUAUAAUUAAUUAGUGACAAUACAAAACUAGUACAUUUUUUUUCCUGGUAUUAAUUAAUUAGGCGGAGGUUACCGGAAUAUGGGGGUUUUAUGACAGCCCCUGACAUAAUCAUGACCUGCCAACUCCAACUCCAGCUCCAACUCCAGAAUGGAGAUGCAUGGCAAUAACAUGAAAAAAGUUGUAGUCUAUACGUUAAUGGAGGUGGUGGAAUUAACCAUCUAGAACAUGCAGAUGACUAUAUAUAUAUAUAUAUGAUCAGCCAGACCCAAAUCAUUCAUUCCUUUCAGAUCAGUACUUGUUCCAUCAUUCCAUUUACAUGAAUUGCAUGGUACGUACGUACAUGAUGUUUAUUAAUUUAAUUAAUUAAUUAUAUAUCAAUCAAUCAAUUAAUUAAACCCUUCCAGGAGGCCUUGGGUCAUGGUCGUGGUUUGCUCCAGUUCUUGGGUAAUCAUCUGUGCUUUCCAAAACCAUUCUUCCCUCUACAACUCCUUCCACCAUUAACAUAUCUCCUUCUUCUACCAUCAAUUUCUACACCAACAAAUUCAUAUAUUAAUUAUAUCAUAUUAAUUAAGAAAACAAUUAAUUAAUUAAUUAAUUAAACCAUGAUUUAACAGUGUUUUGUUAAUUUUUAAAUUAUAUUUUCUUUUUGAAAAACAAUAACACGUACGUUUAGCUGACAUAUUUUUUACUUAUCACUUAUUUUAGCUACGAGGUAAUCAGUCAACUAACUGCCUAAUUAAUUAAUACUAGUAAAAUUAAAAAAGAAGUUACUAGGUAAAGUCAAACUACACUUUCUUGAAUAUAUGGUCGGGGUGGGGUGAUGUUUCAGUUCAUUAAUUUAAUCCUAAAAUAAAUUAAUGAUUACUAAAGAGACGGAUUAUUAAAAUAAAUAUAUAGAAACAGAAGUAAAAAUCCAACAGAUAAGGUGGGCUGGCUGUAGUUGUAAACUUUUUAUUGACAUAUUUUGAAGAAAUCCAAAUUAACAAUAUAUAUAUAUAUAUAUAUAUAUAUAUAUAUAUAUAUAGAGAGAGAGAGAGAGAGAGAGAGAGCUAGGCCUUACUGGAUGUAGGAACUGCAGCAAUGGAGGAGAGAACAAAAGAGAAACCCAAAAACAGAACAAGCGGGGUAAGCAAAGACUUGUUCAUAUUGACAAAUUAUAUAUAAAAACGAACAGAUCUGAGAAGAGAUUAUUGUCGAGGAGGAGGGAGGAGGGUGUGAUGCAGACAAAAUAUGUGGAGAAGGUGCAUUCAUUAUAUAGAGAGAUAAGAGAUGGAGAGGUACAAAAGAAAGAAUGUCAAUUGUUUUUAGCUUACUUCCAUG
rnacentral:lncRNA from 1 species